rnacentral:rRNA from 1 species
UACGGGGGGGGCGAGCGUUGUUCGGAAUUACUGGGCGUAAAGGGUGCGUAGGCGGUGCUCUAAGCCGGAUGUGAAAACUCUGGGCUCAACCCAGAGCCUGCAUCCGAAACUGGAGUGCUAGAGUUCUGGAGGGGGUAGCGGAAUUCCUGGUGUAGCGGUGAAAUGCGUAGAUAUCAGGAGGAACACCGGUAGCGAAGGCGGCUACCUGGACAGAAACUGACGCUGAGGCACGAAAGUUAGGGGAGCAAACAGG